UACGUAGGGUGCAAGCGUUAAUCGGAAUUACUGGGCGUAAAGCGCGCGUAGGCGGCUUUGCAAGUCGGGUGUGAAAUCCCCCAGGCUUAACCUGGGGAACUGCAUUCGAGACUGCAUUGCUAGAGUAUGGGAGAGGGAAGUGGAAUUUCCGGUGUAGCGGUGAAAUGCGUAGAUAUCGGAAGGAACAUCAGUGGCGAAAGCGACUUCCUGGACCAAUACUGACGCUCAUGUGCGAAAGCGUGGGGAGCAAACAGG
rnacentral:rRNA from 1 species